UACGUAGGGCGCAAGCGUUAUCCGGAAUUAUUGGGCGUAAAGAGCUCGUAGGCGGUUUGUCGCGUCUGCCGUGAAAGUCCGGGGCUCAACUCCGGAUCUGCGGUGGGUACGGGCAGACUAGAGUGCAGUAGGGGAGACUGGAAUUCCUGGUGUAGCGGUGAAAUGCGCAGAUAUCAGGAGGAACACCGGUGGCGAAGGCGGGUCUCUGGGCCGAUACUGACGCUGAGGAGCGAAAGCGUGGGGGAGCGAACAGG
rnacentral:rRNA from 1 species